AUCCAUCUGACGAGUCCCAAAUAGAAUGAAACGCGCAUCAAACUGGAU
rfam:Schistosoma mansoni, Puerto Rico, WGS project CABG01000000 data, contig: 0178